CACGGGAUCAGCCCGCUGUGAAGCUAGCGCCCUGUGUAGGCACCAAGCCUUGCACAGAGUCCCCUGAUGCGACGGAGCACAUCCAGUCCAUGGCACCCUGCGAGAAGCUUCUGUGUGUUUUACUUUGCUCUCUUGGGACAGAUUCCCGGAGAGAAAUUUAUGGGUAAAUAGUGUGAAAUGUAAAAGCUCAUGAAUAUUUAUUAUCCAGUUUCUCCCUAGCAGGGUUCUCCCUGUGAGUGCCUCAGGCCCGUAGGACCGAGUGCCCACUGCCCAUGCGCCUGGCCCAGACUGGUGCAUGUCGAAGUGGCCAGUAAUGCAGGGUACGGCCUCCUAUUGGUGUGAUCCUGCGGGGUUCUGGUGAGGUCGGGCUGUCCCGCGUUGGGCCGGGUGUUUCCUUCCCGAGCACCUCCUCUUCAACCUGCCCGGGGUGGGUGGGCUGCGACAUUUUCCUGGUGCACGCGUGUGGCCCCUUCCUGCGGGAGCACUGUGCACACAGCUCGUGUCCAGGAUGCCUGGGCCGUCCUGUCUGUGCGUCCGGUGCUGUCCUCUUGGUUCCCGUUUCUGACGUGGCCGCAGUGGAACCUGCAGAGCUGGCGCUGUCUGCUCGCUUGGUGAUCUCAGUCCCUGCGUCUGCGUGAGUGCCUUUCCCCAAGGGGCCCACAGCUGUAGGUCUGGCCUCUCCGUUUCCCCUAGCUGUGAUUUGGAGUGGCUCCAGUGCCUCCCUGUCGCUGGAGAUGACUGUGGGCAGAUGGCCCACUGGUGGCCUCUGCUCCCCUUGAGCUGUCCCAGAGCAACCAGGACGGGCGGGAGAAGAGGCUGGCUGUCCCCUCCGUCCCUGGCCUGUCCUCGCCUCUCAUCACCAGGGUGGAGGAUCGCAUCGCUCAGCCUAAGCGCGGAGGAUCUGAGAGUUGGCCGGGUCCUCGAGUCAAUAAAGACAAAGCAGAGAAACAGAGGAGGUAGUCACUGGGUACCUGACCCCUCCCCAGGCCCCGCUCAGUACCCCACACUGGGACCAGGCUUCAGCAUAGGAACGGGGCCAACUGGAGCCUUAUCCAAACUGUGGUGCAGGAGCACCCCAGGUCCGCUGGAAUGUGGGCUCUGGAGAUGCCAUUAGCUGCGGUGGGAGAUCGGCCACUUCUGCUGCCUUCUGCUGGUUUCUUGCUCCCCGUGUACCUGGUUGUCUGGACUGUGUGUUGAUCGGCCACUAAAAAGCAGCAUUGUUCCCCAGGCAGGGCGUCCGUGGGAGUUUUGCAGCGGCCCCUUCCGGUCUUGUGCACAGAGGCUCAGUGACGCUCUGCAGAUUGAGGCCCUGGGGCCUCGGCCCCUCUGGCUCCUCAGAGCCCAGCUGUGACCUGGUGCCAGCCUCCCACCGAGUGGUACCACGUGGCCGCCGGGUUCCUGAUGCCCUCUAUAUCUUCAACCCUGAGCCCUGCGGUGUCGGGGUAGUUCCAGGCAGCCCUGGGCCUGAGCUUUGGGACCCCUCGGGAAUGCCACCGCCACCUGCUUUCCCAUCCGUGGACGCCUUGAGGUGGAAACGCACGGGGCCUGCCCUGCCUGCUCAGAGCAUCAGCCUGCAGGCCGGAUGAGGGGCGGCCGGAGCAGAGUGGCCCGAGCCACGGCAGGGUGCGGCCACUUGGUGGCCCCCAUGGGACACGGGUAGCACCCACUCUGGCUGGGAGGAGGCCUCUAGGCUGAUCACCAGCAUCACCCACUUACUGGGUGCCGGGGACCACACGGGGCGUGGGGGUGUCAUGUGCUGGGCCCUGUUGCUGCCUCUCCCUCCCCCUGCUCAGGGUCCACACUCUCUGCUGUGCCACUGUCCCUGGCCCUCACAUUCUGGGCCUUCCCUGGCCUUGUCCCCUUGUCCUGGCCUGGAGCUCUGAACAUGGCCUCCUCCUGCUAUAGACUCAGACCCUGCUGCUCCCCAUACCCCCACUGAGCUUCAGUGAGGCUCCUUCUGCACCAGCCCGGCCUGCUGAGCGACCUGCCUGUGCUUGGCAUCCUGCCCCUGUGGCCCCCAGGGUGGGUGGCAGGAUGUGGGCUGGGAGCAGCGGGGGCACCCGAGGCCCCCUGGGCCAUCCCCACCGCACACACUGCCACUGUCUCAUCCACGGCACAGCCUUUCCCAUCAGAAAAGUGACGUGAGGAGCUCAGACAGCACAGGCUGGGAGGGACAGGGCCUCGGGCUGCUAAUUUGCAUGGAAUAGCGCCACCCGGGAAGGCGCAGGGUCCCGCCCCCGCCUGGAGAGGAGGUGGGAGAGGGGCAGCCUGCAUCCUCCGUUCCUGGUCGCUGCUCCCGCAGCUCCCACUCCAGGCAGCUCGCUCAGUGCCUCACGGUGUAAUCAGAAGUGGCAGCUGCCUCAGGCCGGCCACGGCUCACAGCCUAACGCACUCCAGUCAGACCGACAUCUUAAUGCUGCGCAGGGCCCAGGCCGAGCGGUCCCGGAGGAAUCCAGGCGGCCGGCCCUGCCUGUGGCCCAUGGGGCCCUGCAGCCCCGAGAUCACCAUGGGGGUUUCGGCCCCACGCAGAGCCCAGCGUAGCAGGGACAGAGCAGGUGUGUGCGACCCUGCAGCCCAGCUCUCUGCCGACUCUCGGGCUGGCCCGGGGCGCGGCGGGAAGGGCUGGGCCUCUCCGGGCUUUGCUGUCCCUGUGGUCCAGCCCUUCCUCAGUGCGGGCUGGGUCCUCGUGUGCCCAGUGCAGCAGCCCUGCCCUGGCCGCGGCCCCUUCCUGUGGUCCGCUCUGUCUGGGCCGGCUGCGGUCUAAUGUUACUGUUCUGACUCUUAGAAGGGUGAGACCAGGGGUCCCUGUGGGCUUCAGCUCACGGAGUGGAAAUCCCGCCCGGGUGUGAAUUUCUCCCUGUUGUGUUCUGGGUUCCCGGGGACCCUGUGCAAGGCCAGCUGCUCAGGCGGGGCUGUGCGGAGAAGGGGAGCGGGUGGGGCUUCGGCUGUUGAGGGCUCUGUCUGAUCACCUAGGUACCCCCCGCUGCACUGCGUCCUGGGAGCGGGGAGGGGCCCGGCUUCACCUGCGGGCAUCCACGUCAGCCACCCGACUCUGUAGGCUUUGGGGGUCCCCCACACACGACUCUGCCCCAGGUUUCUGUGCUCCAGGUUGCCGGGUGAGGACUGUGGGAAGCAGCCACGUGUGGCUCCUACUGACUGACCGUGAGGUGACAGGUGGCACCCUGCUCGCUGACUGUUCUCCACCACACCUCGGGGAUCCUGGCUUCCCUCUCCUAUCAUACUAGACCAGAUCCUGAAGUCCGCCAGACUGACAGGCCCUCUGCCUCCUUCUGAUGUCCUCGCUGGUACUUAUACCAUGAAGCCCAAGGAUAGGGGCGUGACCGCCACAUGGGUCCCUUGCUGACUCUGAGGGCUGGGACCAUGGCAUCUGCCUGGAGAUGCCCGGGAGGUGAUGCCCGGGAGGCGGCCCUGUGCACCUCCAUGGGGACAGCUCUGCCAGCUGCCGCAUGGCCUCCCCAGGGUUGCUUUCUGUUUACCCUGGGCAUUGUAGAGUGGACAGUUCCACGGCACUGGCUGAGUUCAGGACGGUGUCUGCCACCUAUGCCCUCAGUCUCAGGACUGUCCCACCUCCGCGGAAGGAGGGUGCCCAUGGCUGUCCCUGCCCUUCCCGGCCCCAGUGCUCUUGUGCACUUCCAUCCGCGCACAUAGCUGCUUCGGGCGUCGCAGGAAGAAGAGCGUGUGGGCCGGGGCCUCUUGGCCCUCU
rnacentral:lncRNA from 1 species